AGUAGGUAAUUGACAGGAAGGGCCCGCUCUGGGCGGUGCGAGAUUGGUCGGAUGACUUUGGAGACAACCAGAACCCGAAAGUUACCUUGUUUCUCGAAGGAGGCGGUGCAUCGAUGUGCCUGGGAAACUCUGAUUGGACUGUGUCUGUGAAGGACGGAGCAGCCUUGGGUCCUUUCUCCGAGGCACCUAAUGGCCUAGUCUGCCUGAGAAACGGACCGGCUCUCCCGGAUGUUUUUUCCGUCUUAAUGGGAAGGAGAAGGAAAGAGAUAAUGCAAUAUAGUUUUUGACAUAAUCUUUAACCUACAAGGAUAGAACAACUGGGAAUAGGAGCCUUUAAAUUUUCACAAGGAAAGCAGUUGUGUAAACAGGCAGUUCUUAGCAAGACAGGGGCACCCAUCCAAGGAGGAAGGGAGGCGCUGGUCGGGUAAUGGGAGCAGUGGGUCCGCCGCACCCCUGUCCCCGCCCUCAGCCGCUCCCCUCAGCUGCAACCAGGAGUUAGAAAAAAAUUUUCCUUAGUAUGUAGGCCGUCCUUAAGGCAUUUGGGAUUCCUCCAUUUCCCUCCCCAUUCCUAGCUUGGGGUCUGGGACACCUCCUUCCUACUUU
rnacentral:lncRNA from 1 species